AAAAGACGAGCCACGGACGGCUGGCUCGCACGAAUCGACGUGGCGAUCUGAUCAGUGCAUGCUAAUCGUAACUGAAGAAGAAAACCCCACUCUAUCUCAUCAGUUAUCGUCUAAUCGAUCGCCACAGACAAGUGAUGACCCGUAGGCACGCAUAUCCAGACCAAGAUCAGAUAGCAAAGCCAACCAAAAAGCGCGAGCCGAUGACGCAGCGGCUAGGGCCGGACAAGCACGGCGGUUCAGUGUUCAGGGUUGAGACAAGGCUCGUACAGCCGUUCAUGCAGUCGUGCACACCACCGCUCUCGAUCUGCAAAUGCAAAUCCAAAACACGGUGGUUCAGCAUGCAGGAUCUAUCUAUCUAUCUGCAUGCUUCCAAACCAAAGCUUGAACUUCCUCGCUGAAAAGGCAAAUGAGCAAAAGGACACAGCUUCAACUACCUGCGCGACAAAGUUGGUUGGCCUGGCCGGGGAGAUAGAUUUGUUCGGGCGCAGGAAGCUUCGGUGCACCUUCCCGCCGCCACCUGAGUGUCUCGCACGCGCCCUUUGCCUGGCUUGUGGUUAACGAGAACCGCGACUAAGAUGACAAAUUAACAAACGUGUAGGCCGUAUAUAUAUCUACAAAAGUUUUCUGUUGAGGGAAGUAUAUCUAGAAAAGUUAGUAUACAUGUGCGAAAUGCAAGAAUGAAAACCUGGGUUUGGAACGUCCAGGGCGGUAUCUACAAACCAGGGGCCUCGGUGCGAAAUGUACGAUGGAACCCUACAAUUUAAAAUACGGAUAAUCAAAGUAUGUCUUCACAAAAUUGAAAAACAACCACGUCUUCACUUAAUUCUUUUUUUUUUGCGGAAAGUCUUCACUUAAUUCUGUGAUACCCUAACUCCUGAAAACACGAUGAGGAGAUGUAAUAAAUGAGAACUUAUAAAACAAUUUCCCUUUUUUUAAUUCUAAGUUGAUUCACCCCAACCAUUGGAUAUCAAUCCAACAGCCGCCCACCUCCUUCUUCCUCGCCCGGCAUGGCACCCGCCGCCCUCCAACCUAGACCUAAUUGUUUGCCUAAACAACCGAUCCCGGCGGCACUACCAUGCCGCCUCACCGAACCACCCCCUUCGUUGUGCCACCGCCGCCCCUACCAUCCCUGUAUACCCCUUUCUUUUGCACUGGCACCCCAUCCUGCACCCAAGUCGUUAAGCCUCCACCUGCGACGCCGGCUAGGUGCGAGUUCUUCUCUCCUAUCUAAAACUGACCGGUCCAAAUUUUGUUUUCAGACAACUGAGGAUAGUAAAUCUGCUAUAAAAAAUAACAAAAUUUGGCAAGACAAGAAAAAAAUAACAAAAAAAGAUAAGGAAAAAAUUACUUUUCUGAUGAUAUGAAUAUGAUGGAUGCCCUAGAUAUGUAGAAAUCUGAUGAGAAAUUACGACGGAACCCUACAAAUUAACAUAAGGAUAGCCAAGGUAUAUUUCACUUAAUUAUAUGACUUCCUAAUUCUAGAAGACAUGACAAUGAUUGAUGUAAUAAAUAUCUCCAUGUUCUAUAAACUGGGGAAAAGCGGUGAUUAGUUAUACAUCAAUUUUAGUAUUAGCAUGACAAGAACAAAAAAGGAACAAUAAUAAUAAUUUGUGAGGAUAUGAAUGUGAUCGAUGACCGAACCUAGAAAUAUGAUGAGAGAUUAUGGACCUGCAGCCGGUUAUGUCAGAAAGUUGCCGGUCGCCAAGACUUAUGGGAUCAACUUGGGAGUGGAACGACCGGGAGAGGAAGAGCGUUGAAACUGCCCAAAAGACCGACCGAGGGAAGAGAAGCACAUGGGGUGUUCCUCAAUCGACCGAUUAUGAUUAUGAAGAGCUGGGAGAUAAAAGGUGGCUCCCCCCUCCCACUGGGCCUCAUGCGAUUUUCCAUGUUGGUCCUUUCAUUUGUUCUCCCUGUUGCCACCCUACACACGGUCUCCU
rnacentral:lncRNA from 1 species